rnacentral:lncRNA from 1 species
CAGAUGCCAACUGCGAGUACCCCUCUCCCCUCUCUGGAGCCACUAAUCAGAUGUAAAAUCCUUGGCCUGCUACUCUGCCUCUCUGAAUUUCACUUUUCUCAGCUAUAAAAUGAAGAUAAUACUGCCAGCUGCUGACAAAGAUUCUUCAAUGAUAUGAGAUUGACAGAAGACAUGUUGAGUAUUUAUCUGUGGAAGGUGGGAACAUCCCAGCAAGCAAGAACCUAAUAGUGUCACAUUCAUUGAAAGGGUUCUGAAAUGUGACCCCUAUGCAGAAUAUUGGGAGCUUAGGAGUGAGAACCCCACAGGUGGUGCUCAGCAGUCUGCUCCCCUUCCAUGGGGUGUGAGUGCCCAUAACAGCAGGUGCAGACAUGCACUGGCACUAUACUGCAGGAAUCCUACAGCUCCCCUCCAGGAUCUUGGAAUGAUGCCUCACGACUUGGAAUUCAGACCCAGUGUUGGGUCCCCAGAAGACGC